rnacentral:rRNA from 1 species
GACGAACGCUGGCGGCGUGCCUAAUACAUGCAAGUAGGACGCAGUUGCGAACGGGUGAGUAACGCGUAGGUAACUGCCUAUUAGAGGGGGAUAACUAUUGGAAACGAUAGCUAAUACCGCAUACUAGUAGAUGGACCUGCGUUGUAUUAGCUAGUAGGUAGGGUAAUGGCCUACCGAGGCGACGAUACAUAGCCGACCUGGGAGGGUGAUCGGGCACACUGGGAACGGGGCACGGGCCAGAAUCCUACGGGAGGCAGCAGUAGGGAAUCGUCGGCAAUGGGGGGAAACCUGACCGAGCAACGCCGCGGGAGUGAAGAAGGUUUUCGGAUCGGAAAGCUCUGUUGUUAAGGAAGCGGUACUUAACCAGAAAGGGACGGCUAACUACGUGCUAGCCGCCGCGGUAAUUC